UAGGAAUACAGAGCGAUGAAGAUGAGCUGGAAACGACAGGUGACUUGCCAGCAGGCCAGAAUGUGCUUUUUCUUUGUCCCAUGGAAGGUGUUAAUUCUCUCUCCAGUUGUGAGGAUCAGUUGGUUCAUUUAUGGGAAGGUUGUCAGGGGACCUUUGAAUCACGGCCUUCAGAUGCCACAAGGAAUCCCACACAGGCCAGUGGAUCACGUGCAUGCAUUUCUCUCCCUUCUCGACUCAGGAAGCUGAGAAUGAAAGAACGUGAACGAGAAGAAAAGGAGAGGCGGCUGUCAGAGGUGGAAGAAACCAUGAAAUUGGCUCUAGAAAAAAUACCCAUCUGCAAGUGGGUUCAGAAACCGACACCAGCCUCUUGGGGAAGCGCUGGUGGAGUGUUUUGUUUUAAAUCUUUGUACAAUCUUUAGACCCAGUUAACACAGAAAUGGAAACAAAUGGUCAGAAGCGAUACCUAGAGAGAGAGACAAUUCACACAAGAGAACACACGUACCUUAAGAUUUACUAGUGUUCAAAACAUGUGAAGUAGCCAAACAUCUCCUGACUGCAAUGCCAGCCAGACUGUGUGGAAACUCGGUUCAUACCAGCCGUUCUAGGGGUGAUGCGAGUUGUCAUCAUCCUUAGGAAAGUGUGUUGUUGUAGGAUCAACCCAUCCUUCAAAAGGACUGUGCCUGUUUAUAAGCUCAGCUGUUUCUGCCCUGUGAAAUAUGGCAAGGAUAUUAAUUCCAGGAGAACAGAGCUUUAUGAUAAAAGAUGCCCAAUGAAGCAUGAAUUAGGGACAUACUGAAAAUGGGUAAGGAAAUUGUCAACUCAGAACCCAGCAGGCAUUAAGUAAAAGAGGAGGAAGCAUUACAGCAA
rnacentral:lncRNA from 1 species